CAUAAUGAAUCAGAUUACAUGGAGAGGAGGGACCUGAUCCUAUAUCAUAAUGAAUCAGAUUACAUAGACAGGGGGACCUGAUCCUGAUUCAGCACUCCUCCUUUGAGACACUGCCUUUAUGAAUAAGGAAUGCUGUUGUAAAGUCUAGUUACAGCAGGUGUUUACUGCCAUCUAGUGGAUGAUUCCAAUAAAACACUUUAUUAUCAGGGUGGGGAGACGGCUGAGUGCAGGAUCCAUGGUGAGAUGACAAAAGAGGAAAACACACUAUAUGGAGAGAAGUACAAAUAAAGUAUUUCUGAACAAUAAAGGACAGAGUAAGAUAAUGAAUACCUGGAAUGACAUAUUAUUACUAGUUAGUAGAUCUCUUCUGUCAUCAUUAUUUACCCAUACACCGGUGACGUCAGAAGGGACGUGAUUUCCUCAUAUGAAAGUGAAAGUAACUGUGGUUACAAAAUGUAGCGCACAUUUCUCAGCAACAUUAGAAGCAGGAUAAAUGUGUUGAUUUGAAGGACAGACUGACAGACUCUGGAUCCAUUUUGAGAUGACAGAGCAGAAAACACUAUAUGGACAAUACUGACAAAUAAAGGGAAGCCUGGGCAACUGAAAUGUCUGAGCUUUUUCAACAGUGUAACUAUGAACAUCUGUACCAAAACCAAAUGAAGGGAGACAUAGAUAUGAUUAAAAAACAACUGUUGAUGCGACAUGAAAAAAGAUGGGUGGAGGAGAUGAAUCAUAAACCCAAAUUGAGAACCUUUUGUUUGAUUCAGGGUGAAUUGGUGUGUGAGAGAUAUAUUAUGUAUAACCUACCUAAAAGCAAGAGAUCUCUAUGUGCACAGGGAAGAUCAGGGAUAUUGUCUCUGUGUAUUGAAACAGGUCAGAUCAGGGAUAUUGCCUCUGCGUAUUGAAACAGUUCAGAUCAGGGAUAUUGUCUCUGAGUAUUGAAACAGUUCAGAUCAGGGAUAUUUCCUCUGAGUAUUGAAACAGGUCAGAUCAGGGAUAUUGUCUCUGAGUAUUGAAACAGGUCAGAUCAGGGAUAUUGUCUCUGAGUAUUGAAACAGAUUAUUUCAGGAGUAUUGUCUCUGUGUAUUGAAACAGGUACGAUCAUGGAUAUUGCCUCUGAGUAUUGAAACAGGUAAGAUCAGGGAUAUUUUCUCUGAGUAUUGAAACAGGUCAGUAUUGUGGUGAAAUGGAGGAAAGACUAUGUAACUAUUGUGACCUUAAAGAAAUAGAGAAUUAAACUGAUUUAAUCCUCUAUUUCCUUUUCUACCAUGACAUACGCUUGCUCUUAUUCCAGAAAGACCACCAGAUAUACCCUGGCAGUAUGUGAUGAGUGAUGAGGAGAAAUUGAAAUGUUUUUUUUGUCCAUUGUGUAUUUCCGUUUGUGGAAUAUUUAGAUAAAUCCUGGAAUAUAAGAAAAAUGUUUACCUAUAAUUAAAUUGUAAAAAUAUUUAGCUUCUGCGUGGUAAAUGGUACAUGUGUAUAUAGAUUGUGUAUAGACUUGUCUCCCAUAUGAAUCUUCUAUGUGGUAAAUGGUAUGUGUAUAUAUAGAUUGUGUAUAGACUUGUCUCCCAUAUGACUCUUCUAUGUGGUAAAUGGUAUGUGUAUAUAUAGAUUGUGUAUAGACUUGUCUCCCA